GCCCCCAUCGUCUAGUGGCCUAGGACACAGCCCUUUCAAGGCUGCGACAGGGAUUCGAAUUCCCUUGGGGGCA
rnacentral:tRNA from 2 species